rnacentral:rRNA from 1 species
UACAGAGGGUGCGAGCGUUAAUCGGAAUUACUGGGCGUACAGCGCGCGCAGGCGGUUGCUGACGUGCCGUGUGACAAGCGGGGGCUCAACCCCCGAGGGCCACGGUAAACGGGGCGACUGGAGGUAGGGAGAGGGAUGUGGAAUGCCCGGUGGAGCGGUGAAAUGCGUAGAUAUCAGGAGGAAUACCGAUGGCGAAGGCAGGUCUCUGGGCUGACACUGACGCUCAUGCACGAAAGGCGUGGG